rnacentral:lncRNA from 10 species
CAGGGAGCAAUUUCCUCUUCCAGGCCUUCCAGGCUGGGAGGAAGCUGUGUACCGGAACUGGGCAGAGCUGCAGGCAUGAAAGAAGGGCCUGGGAGGGAAGAGAAGAAUAUACAACCCAGCCUCUUGUCUUAGGCGGCUCGGGCUGCUGCAAUAAAAAACCCCAGACUGGGUGACUUCAACAACAGAAAUUUAUUUGUUCACAUUUCCGGAGGCUGGAAGUCCAAAAUCAAGGUCCAGCAGGGCUCAGCCUCUGGGGAGCUUUCUCUUCCAGGCUUGCAGAUAGUUGCUUUGUCCUUACAUGACCUCUCCUCUGAGCUGUGUGUGGUGAGGCAGGGAAGGAGGGAGGGAGAGAGUGAGGGAGAAAGAGAAAGAGGGAGAAGGAGAGAGACAGAUCUCUUCCUCUUCUCCUAAAGCCACCAAUCUCGUAGCAUUAGGAACCCGCCCUUAUAACCUCAUUUAACCUAAGUUACUUCCUGACUCCAAAUACAGCCAUACAAGGGGUGAGAGCUUCAAGAUAGGAGUUUUGAGGGGACACGUGUUUAGUCCAUAUCACCUCUUUACCUCUCAUCUCCUGACGGUGUCUCCCCCUCUCAUGGCCCAACCCGACAGGAAGCCAGAGGGUGGGGAGCCGAGAUGAUGCUGUCUACGUAGAGCAGCCUCUGACCACAGAGUGGGGAAGAGAAAGCUGUACUAUAGAUGGGAGGUGGGGAAGGGCAGGGAGGCAAACAGAGAGCAAUCAAGACAAGGGAGAAGUGUAGAAAAUGUAGCUGAAGAGAAAAAAAGUUGCUUAUAGAACUGUCCAUGAGGAAAAUGAGAAUAUGCCUUGUUUUAAAACCUCAAAGGACUGAUUCACACUCUUAUUUAGUGGAAAUACAUCAAGAGACUGCAAGCUUAACUUUCUCACAAACACAUACAUCUAAAAAUAGCCUUUUGGAAUCUAAUUUAUUGGUAAGCAAAGGAUUGCAGCAUUUGACUUACAAUUAAGGUGUCACCUCCAAGUUAAUCAUAGGUCCAUGGUUUGAAUAGCUUAGAUUCUCAACUUUCCAGAACAUUUAGUAAGCGCUUGUGAAAAAGCUAAGAGCUCUGAAGGAUAGAGGGGUUUAUAGAAGAUGUGAGACUGGUACCCUAAUGCCUUCGUCAGGAUCAGUAUGGAGCAGACCCUCAGGACUGCAGAAGCAAGAUCAAUUCCUUUUGACAGGAAUGACCAGUCAAAGACAUGAUGCAAAAGGCAGCAUUUAAGAUUCAAGAGCCACAUGCACAGGUUUGUACUAUACUGCAUAAUGCUGGGAUUUGGACUUCUACAGAACCCAUCACGCAAACAGUGAACAUAGUGCCCAACCUGGGUCCAGACGUUGGGAGCAAUCCGGUGGCCUGAUGCAGACUGAGCUUAAUAGAAUAUUUUGUAUAGAAUGUGUGGCACUUGCCUUGGAUGAAUCUAUGUGGUUGGAUCACCUAAAGCGAUACUCAUUGAGCUUACAAUACAUGUCAUAAACAUGCUUCUUUAUAAACGUUUGUUUCAUAAAUGUUGGGCUGUGUGUUCUGAGGCUUGCGUUCAUUACGACUUAGUAGCAGAGUUGUAGAGGCGCUAACCCUCACCCACCUCUAAUCCUCAGGAACAACCAUUAUCUACUAAACUUAACUAAGAUAUUUGUUCAAGGUGGGCGUUAUCUGUCAUCACCCAAGAGGAUAAUACACUGUAAAUGUCAUAGCAAGUUGGUGAUUUAAGUCACUCAAAA